AGUCUAUGGGUUNGUAACGGUAACCACUUAACNGAUUAGGAUUUUUGUAAAGCCGGCCAUUCACUGUAGACAAGUGACAUANGUGGUCUUU
rnacentral:snoRNA from 1 species